GCGAGUGAAAACUCCCUAAACCCACUGUAAAUCUACCUGUAUCGUUCUUUCGGCAGGCGGCCUCUGGGAGGGGCCGUGGCCUGUAGCGGGUGCCUGCCGAAAGACGUCGAAACUCUUGCUGUUUCAGUGCAUUCUGAGUCUAAAACAAAACUAUCA
rnacentral:misc_RNA from 1 species